rnacentral:rRNA from 1 species
AUUGAACGCUGGCGGCGGGCCUAACACAUGCAAGUCGAACGAGUGGCGGACGGGUGAGUAAUGUCUGGGAACAUGCUUGAAGGAGGGGGAUAACUACUGGAAACGGUAGCAAAAACCGCAUACAAUAAGAUGUGCCCAGAUGGGAUUAGCUUGUUGGUGGGGUAACGGCUCACCAAGGCGACGAUCCCUAGCUGGUCUGAGAGGAUGACCAGCCACACUGGAACUGAGACACGGUCCAGACUCCUACGGGAGGCAGCAGUGGGGAAUAUUGCACAAUGGGCGCAAGCCUGAUGCAGCCAUGCCGCGUGUAUGAAGAAGGCCUUCGGGUUGUAAAGCACUUUCAGCGGGGAGGCGUUACCCGCAGAAGAAGCACCGGCUAACUCCGUGCCAGCAGCCGCGGUAAUUC